AAUGGACGCAAGUCUGAUCCAGCCAUGCCGCGUGGUGGAUGACGGCCUCUGGGUUGUAAACACCUUUUAUGUGGGGAUAAGUGGUUCUAUAUGGGCCAUUGCAGGUACCACAUGAAUAAGCACCGGCUAACUACGUGCCAGCAGCCGCGGUAAUACGUAGGGUGCAAGCGUUGUCCGGAUUUAUUGGGUUUAAAGGGUGCGCAGGCGGCUUAUUAAGUUAGUGGUGAAAUCACCCGGCUCAACCGGGACCCGCCAUUGAUACUGGUAAGCUUGAGUAUGUUCGAGGAGAUUGGAACGUGUAGUGUAGCGGUGAAAUGCAUAGAUAUUACGCGGAACACCAAUUGCGAAGGCAGAUCUCUGGGACAUAACUGACGCUGAGGCACGAAAGCGUGGGGAGCGAACAGGAUU
rnacentral:rRNA from 1 species